rnacentral:rRNA from 1 species
CAGUCUGCCUUGGAGUGGGGGAAUAACGGCUGGAAACAGCCGCUAAUACCGCAUGAUACAGCUGGGAGGCAUCUCCCUGGCUGUCAAAGAUUUAUCGCUCUGAGAUGAGCUCGCGUCUGAUUAGCUAGUUGGCGGGGUAACGGCCCUCCAAGGCGACGAUCAGUAGCCGGACUGAGAGGUUGGCCGGCCACAUUGGGACUGAGACACGGCCCAGACUCCUACGGAAGGCAGCAG